rnacentral:tRNA from 1 species
GCUUCCAUGGUGAAAUUGGUAGACACGAUGGACUCAAAAUCCAUUGGUAGCGAUACUGUGUCGGUUCGAGUCCGACUGGAAGCACCA